GGACAGGGCGCCUGGCUCCGCGCUGGGCUCGCGGGCGGCGGCGCUUCCGGGCCCCCGGGGGCCGCCGCGGCCUCUAGAAUUACGCCGGCCGCGCUCAGGUGUCCGCAGCCAACCCUCCGCCUGGAGACCCUAGGGAGACAGACCCAGGAUUCAUCCUCGGAGUCACAGCUGCGACCACCGUGCAUCCUUUAAGGGUAAGAGGUGCUCCUAAAAUACAGAUUGGAAUGACUUUGUAUUUCCUCUGCCUAAAACCCCUUCCAUACUCCUACCUAUAGACCUGAGGUGAUGAUCCUUGAAGAGCGUUCACUGGUGCUGCCCUCCUUGUGCUCUCUGCUUGGAAUACUUUCCGUAAGUGUGAAUGAGAGUACAGGCAUAACAUGUCUUAUUGCUCUGUGCCUUAUUGUGAUUCACAGAUGUUGCAUCUUUUAUAAAUAGAAGGUUUGUGGCAAUGCUGU